CUGUGAUUAAGGUUUCACAUUCUUGUUCUUGAGAGAAUGUCCUGAAGAAGAGCAGAAAUGGACUCACUCUGCAUCCACUUGGUUACAUGAGCUAGGCACGUCCUUUGAGAAGUCAAUUGCAUGAGAGCAGAAUUCGCUGCAGGAAGGUUGCUGUGUUCAUGAAGCACAGAAAUUCUCUUGCCUCUGUGUGUUUGCGGCUCCCGUGCAGAUGUUUAUUCUCCUCCCGCACCUCUGUUUGUUCGCUUUCGGAGGCAGGGCCGGGUGAUGCCCAAGGUGCGUUCCUGCAGCGCAUUCCCAGCCUCUCUCCCACAGCCCAGCCCUCCCCUGACCUGACCACAACCUCCCUCGGGUCCCAGAGAUUCCCACAAGCGGCGAUGACUGGCUGGGAAAGAAUCCCGGAGCAUCCGAGCAGCAGGAAAGCUGAGCCCUGGCUGCGGGACACGCAGGAAAUGCAGGGAGCAGGGUGGGUCUGCCUUGCGAACGGGAAUGUUCCAGCCACGCAGCCAGACCUGGCAGCCUUCGGCUUCUAUAAACACUCAGGGAGCUCUGUGCAGACCUGCUCUGCCGGGGCACAUUCUGCUUUCCAGUUGCAUUCUUAAGGAAACAUGAUUUUCUUCACUGACUACAACUCCACACAUUGAUGCAAAGACACUCUGCAUUUCAUUAGAUUAGACUCAAGGUGCUUUUGGAAAUCCAAAUUGAGAUUUUUAUUAACUAAUGAAGCAGUUUAAAUAUGCUGUUUGUUUUUUGGUGUUUCUUGUUUUUUAUUUUUUUAUAUAUAUAUUACAGAAUCACAGAAUAAUGAGGUUGGAAGAGACCUCUAAGAUCAUCAACUCCAACCUAUGCCCUAAUAAUUAAAAAGCAUAACACAUUAAGAUAGAUUUGAUGUAUUAAAUAAAGCACAUGGCUAACUGAACUGUUUGUAUCUG
rnacentral:lncRNA from 1 species